UACGGGGGGGGCAAGCGUUGUUCGGAAUUACUGGGCGUAAAGGGCUUGUAGGUGGCCAACUAAGUCAGACGUGAAAUCCCUCGGCUUAACCGGGGAACUGCGUCUGAUACUGGAUGGCUGGAGUGUGGGAGAGGGAUGCGGAAUUCCAGGUGUAGCGGUGAAAUGCGUAGAUAUCUGGAGGAACACCGGUGGCGAAGGCGGCUUCCUGGACCGAUCACUGACGCUGAGGCGCGAAAGCUAGGGGAGCAAACGGG
rnacentral:rRNA from 1 species